rnacentral:tRNA from 1 species
GCGGGUGUGGCGGAACUGGCAGACGCACUUGACUUAGGAUCAAGCACUGAAAGGUGUGGGGGUUCGAAUCCCUUCACCCGCACCA